rnacentral:ribozyme from 10 species
ACCCAAACAGAGAAUGAAAAUGAAUUAGAAGAAGGAAAAUUAGAUUUCUGAAUUCAUUUUCUUAUUUACUUUUAUAAUUCUUUGGUUUGGUCAGCUAUUAUUUCUCUUCACUUUUGGAGUUCAUCUUCUUAUUUUU